GACGUAGGGCGCGAGCGUUGUCCGGAUUUAUUGGGCGUAAAGAGCUCGUAGGCGGCUUGUCGCGUCGAAUGUGAAAUCUCAGGGCUCAACUCUGACAUUGCAUUCGAUACGGGCAGGCUAGAGUUCGGUAGGGGAGACUGGAAUUCCUGGUGUAGCGGUGAAAUGCGUAGAUAUCGGUAGGAACACCAGUGGCGAAGGCGGUCUCCUGGGGCAUUCUUGACGCUGAGGCGCGAAAGCUGGGGGAGCGAACGGG
rnacentral:rRNA from 1 species